rnacentral:rRNA from 1 species
UGGCAGAGAGGUCACACCCGUUCCCAUACCGAACACGGAAGUUAAGCUCUCUAGCGCCGAUGGUAGUUGGGACCUUGUCCCUGUGAGAGUAGGACGUUGC